UCUCCCCACCCUGCCCCGUCCCUCCCCUACUCAUGCUUUUUCUCUCUCAAAAACAAAUAAACAAACUUUAAAAAAAAUGUGUAUAUUCUACAAUCUACAGGGUACAAAGCUAUGUCCAGGACAAAAAUGAAGUCCCAGAAUCAAGAUGGUGCAGCUUUCUUAAAAGGUUUAUCUGGCCUAUUUGACCUACAAUGGCAUAUCUCUUAGCACAAAGUUGGACUCACCUACAGAGGAAGAUGAACUCUUAACUUGGGAGUUUUGAUCGUAGGAUGAACAGAGAAGGAAGAACAAUGUUAUAACCAUCAUUCACAGGACAAAAACCCUGUUUGAAGCAUAGUGUUCGUGGUUUCUGGAGAUACUCAUACCAGCUGGAAGAUCUAUUCGUAAUGAUUCAAAGAAAAUGUCCCAAUGUCAGAUGUACCAAACAAAAGAUAUAUUUGUCCUUACAA